GGUUCGAUUCGAGCGCAGCGAGAAAACGUUGCCGCAGGCAACGACCCGAAGGGUGAGGAGCGGAGCGACGAAUAAUCCUUCCCCCACCACCA
rnacentral:sRNA from 1 species